AUUGAACGCUGGCGGGAGGCCUAACACAUGCAAGUCGAACGAGCGGCGGGAGGGUGAGUAAUGUCUGGGACCCUGCCUGAUGGAGGGCGACAACUACUGGAAACGGUAGCCAAUACCGCAUACAAUCAGAUGUGCCCAGAUGGGAUGAGCUAGUAGGUGGGGUAACGGCUCACCGAGGCGACGAGCCCUAGCUGGUCUGAGAGGAUGACCAGCCACACUGGGACUGAGACACGGCCCAGACUCCUACGGGAGGCAGCAGUGGGGAAUAUUGGACAAUGGGGGCAAGCCUGAUACAGCCAUCCCGCGUGUGUGAUGAAGGCCUUCGGGUUGUAAAGCACUUUUAGCAGGAAGGCGGUACCUGCAGAAUAAGCACCGGCUAACUCCGUGCCAGCAGCCGCGGUAAUUC
rnacentral:rRNA from 1 species